UUCAGCAGCCAAAAAUGAGAUCAUCUUCAUCAUUUGAGAAAUCAACAUGAACAAUUUUCAAAACUCCAUAACUUCUUCAUUUUUGAUCCGAUUGGAGCGAUUCUUGCGGCCACGAAACGAGAGGAGCGAGAGCUACGCAUAUAGCACUGAAAAUCAAGACUCGGCGAGGCGAAUACCAACGGAACUUGGAACGUAAAGGACGCGGCAUCCCUUUGCUAUUAUCGAAGUUUAUGGAUAGCAAGCGUGUUUUAUUUCAGGUGAUAGUACUUUGAAGAGAUGGACUUCCAUUUUUGUUCCGGAAGUCUGCAACAUAAAAAGUAUGUAUUGAAGUACGCUUCAAUUCGUAGCGCUGCAGUAGUCAGUAGAUGUCAGUCUAUAUUUGAUUGUUUGUAUCAAACGAGGUCCAGCUGUUAACUCUGAUUUUAUAAAAUAUAUACACGAUUUAUAAAACUA